UGGGGAAUUUUGGACAAUGGGGACAACCCUGAUCCACCAAUGCCGCGUGAGUGAAGAAGGCCUUCGGGUUGUAAAGCUCUUUUGUCAGGGAAGAAACGGUAGUAGCGAAUAACUACUACUAAUGACGGUACCUGAAGAAUAAGCACCGGCUAACUACGUGCCAGCAGCCGCGGUAAUACGUAGGGUGCAAGCGUUAAUCGGAAUUACUGGGCGUAAAGCGUGCGCAGGCGGUUGUGUAAGUCAGAUGUGAAAUCCCCGGGCUCAACCUGGGAAUUGCAUUUGAGACUGCACGGCUAGAGUGUGUCAGAGGGGGGUAGAAUUCCACGUGUAGCAGUGAAAUGCGUAGAUAUGUGGAGGAAUACCGAUGGCGAAGGCAGCCCCCUGGGAUAACACUGACGCUCAUGCACGAAAGCGUGGGGAGCAAACGGGGAUUAGAUACCCAUGUAGUCCCUGAGCGGGCUGGCAAGGCGCAU
rnacentral:rRNA from 1 species